GGGGAAUUUUGGACAAUGGGCGCAAGCCUGAUCCAGCCAUGCCGCGUGAGUGAAGAAGGCCUUCGGGUUGUAAAGCUCUUUCGGUGAAGACGAAACGGUUAGCGUUAAUAACGCUGACUAAUGACGGUACUCACAGAAGAAGCACCGGCUAACUACGUGCCAGCAGCCGCGGUAAUACGUAGGGUGCAGGCGUUAAUCGGAAUUACUGGGCGUAAAGCGUGCGCAGGCGGUUUGCUAAGACAGGUGUGAAAUCCCCGGGCUUAACCUGGGAAUUGCGCUUGUAACUGGCAAGCUAGAGUGUGGCAGAGGGGGGUGGAAUUCCACGUGUAGCAGUGAAAUGCGUAGAUAUGUGGAGGAACACCGAUGGCGAAGGCAGCCCCCUGGGUUAACACUGACGCUCAGGCACGAAAGCGUGGGGAGCAAAC
rnacentral:rRNA from 1 species